UGCCAUCUUCAAGUCACGCUUGACAUAUUAACCUUGCCUUCUUUAUUCCGAUGGGCAAAACGUCCCGAAAACCGUCAUCUGCUCAACGUCUGUUCUCUUUUAUAUCUUUCCACCCCUGCCGUUGUCUCUGCCGGAAAUAAUGUUACGAAAUGAACUGCACGUUCCGCUGACUGUAGACCAACGCUGGAGUCGUUUUGAUGUGGAUCGCCGCUGGUUUACCAUACAGUGUUUCACUAUCAGGAUUCUAAGACACAAAGAAUUGACUAUGUUACAGGCGUACCAUAACAGGUAGGGGUGUCACCUGAUACCACACAAAUAUUAAAAUAUACAUUUUUUGUGUAAAUAUCCUAAAGAAAAUCACCAGCAUAGUUGGUCAGUUUUCCACACAUUGAACCUUCAUACGAUAGGUAUGAUUCCUCUUU